CAUGUAUCUAUAUCCAAUACUUCUUGAGCUAGGCAUGUCACAAAGUGAAAAUGUGCAUUUUUGACUAUUUCAGGGGCCAUAACUCAGAAAAUAGGGGGCGGACCCAAACGAAAAAUAGGAGGUGCGCAAGUUCAUAUCAUGAUAAAGACUCAUGUAAGGUUUCAUCAAUUUAUAUCAAAUACUUUUUGAGCUAGGCGCGUCACGAACUUCGGACGGAUGGACACACGGACAAGAUCAAACCACUCAUGGGGGGGGGGGGG